AAACAUGUCUGUAUGAGAGUUAUAUAAAGUCUGACCUGCCCAUUGGGGACUAAAAGGCCGCGGUAUUUUGACCGUGCGAAGGUAGCAUAAUCAUUAGUCUUUUAAUUGGAGGCUGGAAUGAAUGGUUGGACGAGAAGGAAGCUGUCUCUAUCUCGGAGAUUGAAUUUAACUUUUAAGUGAAAAGGCUUAAAUAAGUUAGAGGGACGAUAAGACCCUAUAAAGUUUUUACAUGAAGUUGGUUAAGAGUGAUUUAAGGUGUUAAAGUUUAUUAUCAGCAGGGUGUUUAGUUGGGGCGACUAGGAUAUAAAUUAUAUAACUGUUUUUUGUUUAAAUCAGAGAUAUUUGUUCAUAUGGUCCCUUUUUAGGAUUAGAGAAUAAAUUACUUUAGGGAUAACAGCGUAAUUUUUUUUAAGAGUUCUUAUCGACAAGAGAGUUUGCGACCUCGAUGUUGAAUUAAAAAUUUCUCUGUGGUGUAGCGGUUACAGGAGAAGGUCUGUUCGACCUUUAAAUUUUUACAUGAUUUGAGUUCAGACCGGCGAAAGCCAGGUUGG
rnacentral:rRNA from 1 species